GAAUGCGAGAAAUGGUUGGUUUUGCAAAAGCUGAUUAGGGUUAAGGUGUAUGAACCCCGUGUUUU
rnacentral:tRNA from 1 species